GACGAACGCUGGCGGCGUGCCUAAUACAUGCAAGUAGAACGCUGAAGGAGGAGCUUGCUUCUCUGGAUGAGUUGCGAACGGGUGAGUAACGCGUAGGUAACCUGCCUGGUAGCGGGGGAUAACUAUUGGAAACGAUAGCUAAUACCGCAUAAUAGUAGAUGUUGCAUGACAUUUGCUUAAAAGGUGCAAUUGCAUCACUACCAGAUGGACCUGCGUUGUAUUAGCUAGUUGGUGAGGUAACGGCUCACCAAGGCAACGAUACAUAGCCGACCUGAGAGGGUGAUCGGCCACACUGGGACUGAGACACGGCCCAGACUCCUACGGGAGGCAGCAGUAGGGAAUCUUCGGCAAUGGACGGAAGUCUGACCGAGCAACGCCGCGUGAGUGAAGAAGGUUUUCGGAUCGUAAAGCUCUGUUGUAAGAGAAGAACGAGUGUGAGAGUGGAAAGUUCACAUUGUGACGGUAUCUUACCAGAAAGGGACGGCUAACUACGUG
rnacentral:rRNA from 1 species